AUUGAACGCUGGCGGCAUGCCUUACACAUGCAAGUCGAACGGUAACAGGUCUUCGGAUGCUGACGAGUGGCGAACGGGUGAGUAAUACAUCGGAACGUGCCCGAGAGUGGGGGAUAACGAAGCGAUAGCUUUGCUAAUACCGCAUACGAUCUCAGGAUGAAAGCAGGGGACCGCAAGGCCUUGCGCUCACGGAGCGGCCGAUGGCAGAUUAGGUAGUUGGUGGGAUAAAAGCUUACCAAGCCGACGAUCUGUAGCUGGUCUGAGAGGACGACCAGCCACACUGGGACUGAGACACGGCCCAGACUCCUACGGGAGGCAGCAGUGGGGAAUUUUGGACAAUGGGCGCAAGCCUGAUCCAGCCAUGCCGCGUGCAGGAUGAAGGCCUUCGGGUUGUAAACUGCUUUUGUACGGAACGAAGAGACUCUGGUUAAUACCUGGGGUCCAUGACGGUACCGUAAGAAUAAGCACCGGCUAACUACGUGCCAGCCGCCGCCGUAACAC
rnacentral:rRNA from 1 species